rnacentral:rRNA from 1 species
AUUGAACGCUGGCGGCAGGCUUAACACAUGCAAGUCGAGCGAGAGGCGGACGGGUGAGUACUGUCUGGGAAACUGCCUGAUGGAGGGGGCUAACUACUGGAACCGGUAGCUACUACCGCAUACCAUCAGAUGUGCCCAGAUGGGAUUAGCUAGUAGGGGGGGUAAUGGCUCAACUAGGCGACGAUCCCUAGCUGGUCUGAGAGGAGGACCAGCCACACUGGAACUGAGACACGGGCCAGACGCCUACGGUAGGCAGCAGUGGGGAAUAUUGCACAAUGGGCGCAAGCCUGAUGCAGCCAUGCCGCGUGUGUGAAGAAGGCCUUCGGGUUGUAAAGCACUUUCAGCGAGGAGGCGUUACUCGCACAAGAAGCACCGGCUAACUACGUGCCAGCAGCCGCGGUAAUUC